rnacentral:rRNA from 1 species
AAGCCCCGGUAAACGGCGGCCGUAACUAUAACGGUCCUAAGGUAGCGAAAUUCCUUGUCGGGUAAGUUCCGACCUGCACGAAUGGCGUAAUGAUGGCCACGCUGUCUCCACCCGAGACUCAGUGAAAUUGAAAUCGCAGUGAAGAUGCUGUGUACCCGCGGCUAGACGGAAAGACCCCGUGAACCUUUACUAUAGCUUCACACUGGACGCUGAUGUUGCUUGUGUAGGAUAGCUGGGAGGCUAGGAACGCUGGACGCCAGUUCAGCGGGAGCCGACCUUGAAAUACCAGCCUGGCAUCAUUGGCGUUCUAACUUGGGCCCGUAAUCCGGGUCGAGGACCGUGUGUGGUGGGUAGUUUGACUGGGGCGGUCUCCUCCCAAAGCGUAACGGAGGAGCACGAAGGUACCCUCAGCACGGUUGGAAAUCGUGCAUUGAGUGCAAGAGCAUAAGGGUGCUUAACUGCGAGACAGACACGUCGAGCAGGUACGAAAGUAGGUUCUAGUGAUCCGGUGGUUCUGUAUGGAAGGGCCAUCGCUCAACGGAUAAAAGGUACUCCGGGGAUAACAGGCUGAUACCGCCCAAGAGUUCACAUCGACGGCGGUGUUUGGCACCUCGAUGUCGGCUCAUCACAUCCUGGGGCUGAAGUCGGUCCCAAGGGUAUGGCUGUUCGCCAUUUAAAGUGGUACGCGAGCUGGGUUUAGAACGUCGUGAGACAGUUCGGUCCCUAUCUGCCGUGGGCGUCGGAAGUUUGCGAAGCGCUGCUCCUAGUACGAGAGGACCGGAGUGGACGCACCUCUGGUGUUCCGGUUGUCACGCCAGUGGCACUGCCGGGUAGCUAUGUGCGGACGGGAUAACCGCUGAAAGCAUCUAAGCGGGAAGCCCCCUUCAAGAUGAGACUUCCCUGGGGCCAUGCGCCCCCUGAAGGACCCUCGAAGACGACGAGGUCGAUAGGCGCGGUGUGGACGUGCAGCAAUGCAUUGAGCUAACGCGUACUAAUGGUCCGUGAGGCUUGACCAUAUAACACCCAAGG